AUCAGGACCCAACUGAGUCUGAAUCCCAUUUAGAUUCUGACCAGAAAACGCUGUUCCAGACAAACCAGUACCUAAUGGAAUACCGUUGAUACCGUUAACCGUUGGCAUUGCCCCAUUUGCGUUGGGUAUGGCUACACCGUUUUGCGGUGGAACAAAACCGAUCUGCUUAGCAAACGGUACUUGACCGUUGUAGAUGUUUCCAAGCAAACCCGUAAUGGGUCUUGCUGUGGGACUG